rnacentral:lncRNA from 1 species
CAGGGGAGAGCCAGGGCUGGGAGCUGCGGGGCAGGAACCUCCCCAGACAUGAGACAAAACCCUCCUCAGCGCGUUCCUGGGUGGAGCAGAGCCGAAGGAUGGAGCUGGAGCCAAGGACACGCUCUGGGAUGGAAGGAGACCCCUGCAGCGGGUGCAGCACAUGAAGAAACCCCCACAGAUGGAGCAAAACAUCAGUCCUGCAAAGCCAGGCAGGAGAAACAGGGACACCAAGAAAUGCAUCCUUCAAACUCUCUGCUGAGUUAUGGAAAACCAGCCAGGAAUUGCGGCAGGAAGGAUCUGGAAGCAGAGCAGCUCCAGGGAUGUGCCCCACGCUCAGCUCUCACCUCGGGGGGCUCACCCUUUCCUCCAGGUUUCCCUCCCUGAGUUGAUUUCCUGCCGUGGUUUGCCACCGCUGGGCUCUGGCCAUGUAGGUGAUGCUGAAGCAGCUCCUGCAGGUCCAGGACUGCCCUCCCAAGCUCCCUCCCCUCCCUAAAAAUUACCCUUGCAGAGAAGGAAUAAGCAAAGCCCAGGGCAAGGACAGGAGUCAUGUGUGGAUUAACACGGGGUGGGGGCAGGAGCACAAUGAGCCCUCAUUACAGCACCCAUUAAUGAGCUGAGCUUUCCUCUGCCCCAUCCUGCAGCCACUAAAACGUUCAAAGGAGGCAAAACCAGGCUCUGUCUCCUGCUGUGGGUGGGCCUGCCUUGCCUUAUCUUAUCUUAGGGAAUCCAAACCCUGGGUGAUGGGUGCCAAUGCCGGGGUGAGGGCACCCAUUCCCUGCCUGGGCCAGGGGCACCUCCCCCUGCACCCCCUCCCAGUGGGGCUGGAGCCAAAGGGCUGAGCUUUAUUUAAAACAUGGACAAAAUCUGCUGCUGGGCCCUGGGAUGUGUGUGCAGCCUGCUGUGCCUCACCUGGCAUCACACUGGUGGUGCCUGGAGCUGUCCCCAUCUGUGCCCCGAGCUCCUCAGGCCACCACACCCGGCCCAUGGACCACUUGAUGAAUUAAUUGGAGGCUCUGAAAGUGGCUCUUGGGCUGAGGCACACCGUGCCUGCCUCCUUUGAGCCCACACACCAGGAGAACCUGAAUUUAAGCCUCCCCUGCCCUGUUACAGGUGUUUGUCCAUCCAGAGAGCCAGGGGGAUCACCAGAAGCACAGUGAGGUGGGAAACUGCCUGGUUUGACUCCCAGGGUGGGGUGGGGGGUGUUUCUCUCUCCUGUGGUGUGGUGGGGGCUGGAGGGAGUUCUUGGGAUUCCCUGCCUGGAUCAGGGCAUGGCACCAGCUGCUAGCCAGGCAAAGCUCAGCCUGUGCCCACCUGGGAGCUCGGAUUUGAUGCCCAGCUGAGGUGGGAGGGUGCUGGGCCCAGGCGUCCUGCCUCAGCUCAAACGCUCUGAACUGAAUGUCAGAGAAAAUGAAAGGAGACAAGAAACUGCUGGGACCUAAUAAAGGUGAAAAUUUAGGAAUAUAUUGGAAGUAU